rnacentral:rRNA from 1 species
CACGUAGGGUGCGAGCGUUGUCCGGAAUUAUUGGGCGUAAAGGGCUCGUAGGCGGUUUGUCGCGUCGGGAGUGAAAUCCACUGGCUUAACUGGUGGCUUGCUUUCGAUACGGGCAGACUGGAGGUAUGCAGGGGGAGACGGAAUUCCUGGUGUAGCGGUGAAAUGCGCAGAUAUCAGGAGGAACACCGGUGGCGAAGGCGGUUCUCUGGGCAUGUCCUGACGCUGAGGAGCGAAAGUGUGGGGGAGCGAACAGG